rnacentral:lncRNA from 1 species
UAGCAUUACAUCAUGUAUCAAUCUUUCAUUCUAGACUGGACCACCUCUGGAAAAGCCCCACUUACGUCUGUCUGCAUGAGGCUUUGCGGGGACAUCUAAAUACAAGCCCUAACACAGUCAUAGACAGCACCGUGCAUGAUGGCUUAAGCAAGGCUGCCAGAAUCCAAGCCUUUUCUCCUCAAGGGUCUCUACAUGAUACCCUUCCCUCUCAAGGUCCAAAUGGAAAGAUUCUGCCAGCUGCAUCAGAACUGAAAAUGCUCCUGCACUUUCCACCAGUAAGCUCAUUCACAGACCAGCAGAUCAUAGCUCAUCCUGAUACCUGCACUUUCUUGGCUACUACCUAAGCAAGAAUGACUCUGUGUGAGAAAAGUUACAAUAAACUAAGACCAUUCUAAAGGAAACAAGACGAUCUUUGAACAACUCGAGAAGAACUCAUAAAAACAAGAAGAGCCAGUGUGAAUCAUCUAUCCCGGAAGCUGCCCAGCAUCACGGAAGUCUCCCCAGCCUCUCUAUAGACUGUCCAGCCCCAGUGAUGUCCUGAGACCUCACCCAUACGAAAUACACUGACUGCUCUCCGAGUGUUUCCUACUAAACAAUCUCACACACUCCUUACCUUGGC